UCACUGGCAACAUUUUUAUUUCCUCUUCCUGCAAUUUUGUAUUCUGCUGGCCUAGGGGUCUUAGUUCCAGAGGCAGAAAUGCUUCAACCAGGAGACACAACAGUGUUUCCAUUGAAUUGUUCCUGGUCUUGAGGGCUUCAGCAGUGAAACUGCAAACCUUCCUGCUAGACAGAAAAGUUCUCCAAGUCCUCACUGGACCCAGAAGCGCAACCGGCUUCACCUCUCGCAGUCCAGGCGGGACUUUGCGGCACCUGUCCCAGGCACUCCUGCUUCCCAGAGGGAGGUCUUCCCAGCCAAUCAAGAGGAAGAGAGGAGAAGCUAGUAACAGAAGGAGACCCGCCAUCGUGGCCAACGACACCGCGAAGAGGGAAGGGCGGUCCAUGCACGAGACCCAGCGUCCAAUCAAGCCCAGCAGGCGCCGGCCAGCCGCGCCUGUUUUCCAGACAGUCCAUCUGCUCUUUCCGUGGAACAUGCCCUUCCCAGUGUACCUCACCGCCCGGAGAUACAUCCGUUUCUUUCUGGGAUCUCUAAUUUGAACCUUGUCUGCAAGACCAAUUUUCAUUGUUUUUUGGGUUUUUGUUUUUUGUUUUUUGUUUUUUUUUCCCCCCAGGAAACCAUGUUUACUAAGCAUGUUCUUUUCCAGGUGAAUUUCAGUCAGUGCGUCAAAUUCCGUAAAAGAUGCAAUUGCAGUUUAACUGGGAUUCCACGGUGCAUUUCGAUCACUUUGGGAGACCGUUGACAUCUUUACAAUGUUAAUUUUCUCGUUCAAGAUUUCUCUCCAUUUACUCAGAAAGUUUCUUUUGUGUCUGCCAAUAAAGUUUUAGUUUUCCUCUCACAGGUUUUGUGUGCAUUUUUGUUACUUCCAACCUCUGCCCCCUGGUAUUUUACAGUUUUUCUAGCUAUUGUAAAUGGGACAGCUUCUUUCAAAUGGUUAUUUCUUGUGUAUAAAGAUAUGGAUUUUUAU
rnacentral:lncRNA from 1 species